rnacentral:rRNA from 1 species
UGGGGGAUUUUGGACAAUGGGCGAAAGCCUGAUCCAGCAAUGCCGCGUGUGUGAAGAAGGCCUUCGGGUUGUAAAGCACUUUUGUCCGGAAAGAAAUCCUUGGCUCUAAUACAGUCGGGGGAUGACGGUACCGGAAGAAUAAGCACCGGCUAACUACGUGCCAGCAGCCGCGGUAAUACGUAGGGUGCAAGCGUUAAUCGGAAUUACCGGGCGUAAAGCGUGCGCAGGCGGUUUGCUAAGACCGAUGUGAAAUCCCCGGGCUCAACCUGGGAACUGCAUUGGUGACUGGCAGGCUAGAGUAUGGCAGAGGGGGGUAGAAUUCCACGUGUAGCAGUGAAAUGCGUAGAGAUGUGGAGGAAUACCGAUGGCGAAGGCAGCCCCCUGGGCCAAUACUGACGCUCAUGCACGAAAGCGUGGGGAGCAAACAGGAUUAGAUACCCUGGUAGUCCACGCCCUAAACGAUGUCAACUAGUUGUUGGGGAUUCAUUUCCUUAGUAACGUAGCUAACGCGUGAAGUUGACCGCCUGGGGAGUACGGUCGCAAGAUUAAAACUUAAAUGAAUUGACGGGGUCAUAGCUGUUUCCU